rnacentral:rRNA from 1 species
UACGGGGGGGGGCAAGCGUUGUUCGGAAUUACUGGGCGUAAAGGGCUCGUAGGCGGCCAACUAAGUCCGACGUGAAAUCCCCAGGCUUAACCUGGGAACUGCGUCGGAUACUGGAUGGCUUGAAUCCGGGAGAGGGAUGCGGAAUUCCAGGUGUAGCGGUGAAAUGCGUAGAUAUCUGGAGGAACACCGGUGGCGAAGGCGGCAUCCUGGACCGGUAUUGACGCUGAUGAGCGAAAGCCAGGGGAGCAAACGGG